CCCUUAGAUGUUCUGGGCAGCACGCGCGCUACAAUGGUCUUCGCAAACGGAUGCAUUCUCGAAGGAGAAUGCCAAUCUUGGAAUCUAUGCCUUGGUCGGGACAGUUGCUUGCAAUUUUUCGACUCGAACCAGGAAUUCCUUGUAAUCGUGAUUCAUCACAUCACGAUGAAUACGUCCCUGCCCUUUGUACACACCGCCCGUCGCUCCUACCGAUCGAAGAGUUAGGUGAAUUGUUUUGAACGAUAAGAUUUGACUAUGGUCAACUCUCGUUGUGAAAUUCUGUGAAUCUGACUGUUUAGAGGAAGGAAAAGUCGUAACA
rnacentral:rRNA from 1 species